rnacentral:rRNA from 1 species
AUGCGUGUUGAUCAAAUUUUUGAUACCCAUCGUUAUAGCGAGGAGAAGAAAGUUCAACUUGCUGGAAUUGAGUUUACCGGUUACGCGCUAAUUUGGUGGAAUCAAAUUUGUCGUUCAAGACAUCGCCCGACAACUUGGCGAGGUAUGAAAGAAUUCAUGAGGCGUCGUUUUGUUCCUGAGCACUAUAAAAGAGAUAUGUACAACAAGUUGCAGCGGCUCUCUCAAGGUAAUUUGAGUGUUGAUGAAUAUUACAAGGAGAUGGAAUUGCUUAUGAUACGUACAGGGACAAUGGAGGAUCCGGAGGCGACCAUGUCACGUUUCUUUAACGGGCUAAAUAUCGAGGUGCAGGAACGUGUUGAGAUGGUGGUCUACUACAACAUACAAGAUCUUGUGCAUCAAGCUGUGCAUGCGGAACAACAGAUUAAGCGGCGCCAAGUCAACACAGUUCCCAGUACCACUUUGAACACAUGGCGACGCUCCCAACAUCAGAGUGAGGAUAUCGGUCCUAGCUCGAGGACGACAACAUCAAAUCGCCCUCAUGGUUCCGUGCAAAAGAAUGCUUCAAAAUCAGGACCGUCGAGGGUUGAUUCUAGUGCACAGUCGACCAAUCGUUCCAGUGACAUAGAGUGUUUCAAGUGUGGAGGAAGGGGACAUAUGAAGCGUGAAUGUCCUAAUGAGAAGAGAGUAUUGCUCACAAAAGAUGGCUAUGCAUCCGCGAGUGAUGAAGAUGCAGUUUUUGACACUUCUAGUGAAAAAUUUGAAGAUGCUGAGAAGGUGACUGCUAGUUUUGAAGCUGCUGAAUCAUAUCCGUCCUUAAUGGUGCAGCGUGUGCAAGAGGAUCGCAUUGAGGAUAAGGGGCAGCGUUGGAAUAUUUUUCAGACUCAAUGCAAGAUCAACAACACCAAUUGCAAGUUGAUCAUCGACGGUGGAAGCUACACUAAUGCAGUCAGCAAGGACUUGGUGGAUGCUUUUGCUUUACCAACCUGGAAGCACCCACAACCACACUGUGUCGAAUGGUUAUAUCAGUCGGGCAAACUGAAAGUUACUCACAAGAUGCGCAUCAAUUUUUCGGUUGGCAAUUAUAUCGAUACAGUUAUCUGUGAUGUUCUACCAAUGGAUGCAUGCCAUUUGUUGUUGGGGAGGCCAUGGCAAUAUGAUCAUCGAGCUACACAUGAUGGGAGGUCCAACACUUAUUCCUUUUGGGACUCUGGAAGGCGACGUAUGUUACAGCCGAUGUUCUCUAGUGCAAUCAAGAACGAUGUCUGUAAGAUCCCUAAAGGUAUCUUGAAGCCAAGGAUGGCUUCAUUUCAAGAGGGGCAGGAUGAUGUGACCAUCUAUGCCAAGACUACUGUCACUCGUCCAAGAAAUAUUAAAGUUACACCGAUGCAUGAGAAGUUGACCGUGACAGUUCCAAAAGGGAAAGAAGCUGGUAUUUUAGAAGCUUUUUCAUAUAUAUAG